GCCGAGGUACAAAGCGAUUGAACCGCGUUGAGGUUGUGGCUGACGAACAGAAUCGUGCGAGACGAUUCAUUGGAC
rnacentral:tRNA from 1 species